rnacentral:rRNA from 1 species
CUUUCAAAUGUCUGCCUUUAUCAACUGUCGAUGGUAGGUUCUGCGCCUACCAUGGUUGUAACGGGUAACGGGGAAUCAGGGUUCGAUUCCGGAGAGGGAGCCUGAGAAACGGCUACCACAUCCAAGGAAGGCAGCAGGCGCGCAAAUUACCCACUCCCGGCUCGGGGAGGUAGUGACGAAAGAUAACGAUACGGGACUCAUCCGAGGCCCCGUAAUCGGAAUGACUACACUUUAAAUCCUUUAAGGAGUAUCAAUUGGAGGGCAAGUCUGGUGCCAGCAGCCGCGGUAAUUCCAGCUCCAAUAGCGUAUAUAAAAGUUGUUGCGGUUAAAAAGCUCGUAGUUGGAUCUGUGUCCCGCACCGUCGGUUCACCGCCCGACGGUGUCAAACUGACGCGAUGCGGGACGUCCUGCCGGUGGCGUGUCUAGCUGGCGGCUUUCGGGUCGUUGGGCGGCGCCGAUUCAAUCCUGUCGCGGUGCUCUUCAUUGAGUGUCGAGGUGGGCCGGCACUUUUACUUUGAACAAAUUAGAGUGCUUCAAGCAGGCUGGAUAUUGCCUGAAUGCUAGUGCAUGGAAUAAUGGAAUAGGACCUCGGUUCUAUUUUGUUGGUUUUCAGAACCAGAGGUAAUGAUUAAUGGAGACAGGCGGGGGCAUUCGUAUUGCGACGUUAGAGGUGAAAUUCUUGGAUCGUCGCAAGACGGACCGAAGCGAAAGCAUUUGCCAAGGAUGUUCUCGUUGAUCAAGAACGAAAGUUAGAGGUUCGAAGGCGAUCAGAUACCGCCCUAGUUCUAACCAUAAACGAUGUUGACUAGCCAUCCGAUAAAGGUUCUUUUUAUGCCUUAUCGGGCAGCUUCCGGGAAACCAAAGUUUUUGAAUUCCGGGGGAAGUAUGGUUGCAAAGCUGAAACUUAAAGGAAUUGACGGAAGGGCACCACCAGGAGUGGAGCCUGCGGCUUAAUUUGACCCAACACGGGAAACCUCACCAGGCCCGGACACUGGAAGGAUUGACAGAUUGAGAGCUCUUUCUUGAUUCAGUGGGUGGUGGUGCAUGGCCGUUCUUAGUUGGUGGAGCGAUUUGUCUGCUUAAUUGCGAU